rnacentral:rRNA from 1 species
GGGGAAUUUUCCGCAAUGGGCGCAAGCCUGACGGAGCAACGCCGCGUGAGGGAGGAAGGCCUGUGGGUUGUAAACCUCUUUUCUCAAGGAAGAACACAAUGACGGUACUUGAGGAAUCAGCAUCGGCUAACUCCGUGCCAGCAGCCGCGGUAAGACGGAGGCUGCAAGCGUUAUCCGGAAUUAUUGGGCGUAAAGCGUCCGUAGGUGGUUAUAAAAGUCUGUUGUUAAAGCCCACAGCUCAACUGUGGAUCGGCAAUGGAAACUGUAUGACUUGAGUGUGGUAGGGGUAGAGGGAAUUCCUAGUGUAGCGGUGAAAUGCGUAGAUAUUAGGAAGAACACCAGUGGCGAAGGCGCUCUACUGGGCCAUAACUGACACUGAUGGACGAAAGCUAGGGGAGCG